ACUCCUACGGGAGGCAGCAGUGGGGAAUUUUGCGCAAUGGGCGAAAGCCUGACGCAGCAACGCCGCGUGGGUGAUGAAGGUCUUCGGAUCGUAAAACCCUGUCGUCGGGGACGAAGGUGGAGGGGUUAAUAGCCUCUUUGCUUGACGGUACCCGGAGAGGAAGCCCCGGCUAACUCUGUGCCAGCAGCCGCGGUAAUACAGAGGGGGCAAGCGUUAUUCGGAAUUAUUGGGCGUAAAGGGCGCGUUGGCGGCUUUUUAAGUGAGAUGUGUAAUCCCUGAGCUCAACUUGGGAACUGCAUCUCAUACUGGGAGGCUAGAGUACUGGAGAGGGUGGUAGAAUUCCACGUGUAGCGGUGAAAUGCGUAGAGAUGUGGAGGAAUACCAGUGGCGAAGGCGGCCACCUGGACAGUAACUGACGCUGAGGCGCGAAAGUGUGGGUAGCAAACAGGAUUAGAUACCCUGGUAGUCCACACUGUAAACGAUGAACACUUGGUGUGGAGGGAGUUGACCCCUUCCGUGCCGUAGCUAACGCGUUAAGUGUUCCGCCUGGGGAGUACGGUCGCAAGGCUGAAACUCAAAUGAAUUGACGG
rnacentral:rRNA from 1 species